AUUGAACGCUGGCGGCAUGCCUUACACAUGCAAGUCGAACGGUAACAGGUCUUCGGAUGCUGACGAGUGGCGAACGGGUGAGUAAUACAUCGGAACGUGCCCGAUCGUGGGGGAUAACGGAGCGAAAGCUUUGCUAAUACCGCAUACGAUCUACGGAUGAAAGCAGGGGACCGCAAGGCCUUGCGCGGACGGAGCGGCCGAUGGCAGAUUAGGUAGUUGGUGGGAUAAAAGCUUACCAAGCCGACGAUCUGUAGCUGGUCUGAGAGGACGACCAGCCACACUGGGACUGAGACACGGCCCAGACUCCUACGGGAGGCAGCAGUGGGGAAUUUUGGACAAUGGGCGAAAGCCUGAUCCAGCCAUGCCGCGUGCAGGAUGAAGGCCUUCGGGCUGUAAACUGCUUUUGUACGGAACGAAAAGACUCUUUCUAAUAAAGAGGGUCCAUGACGGUACCGUAAGAAUAAACACCGGCUAACUACGU
rnacentral:rRNA from 1 species